CUAAAUUUUAUUCAAGGUUAAACAUAUCGUUUCAAAUUCAAAAUAAUAUACAUAUUUUUACUGUUUUUAUUUUUAGAAAAAUCAUUUUUAUCAGUUAAUAUUUCUUGCCUUAUUAGGUGUUUUGUGCUAAAAAUAGCUUAAGAAGGAAAUCGACAUCAAGAUAUGAAAUAUCUGAUAAAAUAAUAGUAUAAAAACGGAGUCGAUUUCGUCAAUAUAUAAACAUAAUCAUAAUCUGCUCUUAACAGCACCUUUAUUUGCCAAUCUAAAAAACAAAUAACUAUUUGUUUUUAAUUUAUCUUUUGAAGUGAAAUUCCAAUCUUAUUCGAUAUGCAGCGUCCAGUAAACCACCCAAUGAUGACUUGUGGCGGACCAAACAGGCGGUAUUCAGUGCCACUAGAGAACACAUAUAACCCUAAUCGCGUGUACAAUAUGGGGCCCUGCUUCAGUCCACCAGCGCCUCCACAGUUCCAGCCAAGCCCUUGCUUCAUGACAGUUUCAUCUCUCAGAACUGCGUACCCAAACCAAAUGCCACCACCACGCCACGGUGGUCCAUGUUUUAAGUAAAGCACAUUACUGUUCUGAUUGUGAUAUCGGAAUGAAUCUCAACAGUUAGUCACGGUUUGAGCAAUACUUGUUACCCGUUCGAUUAUAUUUUAUUUUGUAAAAUUGACCAUCGAAUGGAUAAACGAAGAAUAAUAAUAAUUUAAUUUAAUUUAUAGGUAUACUGAUUUUAGUUCAGGUCUAAUAACUAUUCUAUGUAAGUUUUAUUUAUUUUAAGAUGUAUAUGUAUACGAACGUUAUAAAAUACAUUUGUCAAAUAAACUUGCCCGACUAGCCCGUUGGCACAGUUUGUAGUGGCCCUGCUUUCUGUUCCGCGGGUUGUGGGGUCGAUUCCCGCCUGAGUCUGGAUGUAAUAUAUUUAUUUAUAAAUGUAUUAUUUCAAUGUAUAUUUAUCAAAAAAAUAUAGUUAUAACAGUCGGCUGUUACUUGUAAUACAAACAUUAAGUUUCUUACCAUAGGAACAGACGACCGUAUAUGUAUGUUAUAUGACAUUUAUUAUUUAAACUGAUUGUAGACACUACUCUUUAAAAUUAUAAUAUUAGACAUCAAUCUAUCGUCUCUGUAAAUAAUUACUUAAAUAAAUAAUUGUAAAGCUACUCUAUUUUUUAUUUGCAAUAUCUGCAACCAAUAACUUACUCUGUUGAUAACCCACCGAACAUCUUAAAUGUUUAACACAACAUAUAUAUAUUUUAAUAAAAAAAAUUAAAUUAGAACUAGC
rnacentral:misc_RNA from 1 species